rfam:Alicyclobacillus sp. RIFOXYA1_FTLL_53_8 rifoxya1_full_scaffold_1723, whole genome shotgun sequence.
ACGCAGAAAACCCACGCCCGGGUACGCGUGGGUUCUGCCGCUUGCACCCAAGGUCGUCUGGGAAACGGGCCUUGAAUAACAAGCGAUUCUGGGAGAGGAGAAACCGGAGGAAGAGCUUAUGGGGAAAUCUAAGCCUUCACCCUCG